rnacentral:rRNA from 1 species
UACGUAGGCAGCGAGCGUUGUUCGGAAUUACUGGGCGUAAAGAGUGUGUAGGCGGUGCUCUAAGUUCGGUGUGAAAUCUCUCGGCUUAACUGGGAGGGUGCGCCGGAAACUGGAGUGCUCGAACGUGGGAGAGGAAAGCGGAAUUCCUGGUGUAGCGGUGAAAUGCGUAGAUAUCAGGAGGAACACCUGCGGUGUAGACGGCUUUCUGGUCUGUAACUGACGCUGAGGCGCGAAAGCGUGGGGAGCAAACAGG